rnacentral:rRNA from 1 species
UGGCUCAGAUUGAACGCUGGCGGCAGGCCUAACACAUGCAAGUCGAGCGGUAACAGAAAUUAGCUUGCUAAUUUGCUGACGAGCGGCGGACGGGUGAGUAAUGCCUGGGAAUAUGCCUUAGUGUGGGGGAUAACUAUUGGAAACGAUAGCUAAUACCGCAUAAUGUCUUCGGACCAAAGAGGGGGAUCUUCGGACCUCUCGCGCUAAGAUUAGCCCAGGUGAGAUUAGCUUGUUGGUGAGGUAAGAGCUCACCAAGGCGACGAUCUCUAGCUGGUCUGAGAGGAUGAUCAGCCACACUGGAACUGAGACACGGUCCAGACUCCUACGGGAGGCAGCAGUGGGGAAUAUUGCACAAUGGGCGAAAGCCUGAUGCAGCCAUGCCGCGUGUAUGAAGAAGGCCUUCGGGUUGUAAAGUACUUUCAGUCGUGAGGAAGGGUGUGUAGUUAAUAGCUGCAUAUCUUGACGUUAGCGACAGAAGAAGCACCGGCUAACUCCGUGCCAGCAGCCGCGGUAAUACGGAGGGUGCGAGCGUUAAUCGGAAUUACUGGGCGUAAAGCGCAUGCAGGUGGUUCAUUAAGUCAGAUGUGAAAGCCCGGGGCUCAACCUCGGAACCGCAUUUGAAACUGGUGAACUAGAGUGCUGUAGAGGGGGGUAGAAUUUCAGGUGUA